rnacentral:rRNA from 1 species
UAGUGGCGAACGGGUGAGUAACACGUGGGCAAUCUGCCCUGCACUCUGGGACAAGCCCUGGAAACGGGGUCUAAUACCGGAUAAUACUGUGCCCCUCAUGGGGGACGGUUAAAAGCUCCGGCGGUGCAGGAUGAGCCCGCGGCCUAUCAGCUUGUUGGUGGGGUAAUGGCCUACCAAGGCGACGACGGGUAGCCGGCCUGAGAGGGCGACCGGCCACACUGGGACUGAGACACGGCCCAGACUCCUACGGGAGGCAGCAGUGGGGAAUAUUGCACAAUGGGCGAAAGCCUGAUGCAGCGACGCCGCGUGAGGGAUGACGGCCUUCGGGUUGUAAACCUCUUUCAGCAGGGAAGAAGCGAAAGUGACGGUACCUGCAGAAGAAGCGCCGGCUAACUACGUGCCAGCAGCCGCGGUAAUACGUAGGGCGCAAGCGUUGUCCGGAAUUAUUGGGCGUAAAGAGCUCGUAGGCGGUUUGUCACGUCGGGUGUGAAAGCCCGGGGCUA